rnacentral:rRNA from 1 species
GAAAGUAAAAAAGGGCGCAUGGCGGAUGCCUUGGCUCUCGGAGGCGAUGAAGGACGUGAUAAGCUGCGAUAAGCUUUGGGGAGGUGCAAAUGACCUUUGAUCCAGAGAUUUCCGAAUGGGACAACCCAAUAUCUUGAAGAGGUAUUAUCCAACGUUGUUGGAGGCUAACGCAGGGAACUGAAACAUCUUAGUACCUGCAGGAAAAGAAAAUAAACAAUGAUUCCCCCAGUAGUGGCGAGCGAACGGGGAACAGCCCAAACCAUCCAUGUUACGGCAUGGGUGGGGUUGUAGGACUACGCCGUUGCAUGAAGACAUCAGAGAAGAACUUUCUGGAAAGAAAGACCAUAGAGCAUGACAGUUGCGUAUUCGAAUGUUGUCGAAGCAUAGUAGUAUCCUGAGUAGCGCGGAGCACGAGGAAUUCUGCGUGAAUCUGCCGGGACCAUCCGGUAAGGCUAAAUACUCCCGAGAGACCGAUAGCGAACCAGUACCGUGAGGGAAAGGUGAAAAGCACUUCGAACAGAAGAGUGAAAUAGUUCCUGAAACCGUGCGCCUACAAGCGGUCGGAGCUCGUUAAUGAGUGACGGCGUGCCUUUUGCAUAAUGAACCUACGAGUUGCCUUUGCCGGCAAGGUUAAGUGUGACGACACACGUAUCCGAAGCGAAAGCGAGUCUGAACAGGGCGUAUAGUCGGCAGUGGCAGACGCGAAACCAAGUGAUCUACCCUUGGCCAGGUUGAAGGCUGGGUAACACCAGCUGGAGGACCGCACCAAUAAGCGUUGAAAAGCUUCUGGAUGAGCUGAGGGUAGGGGUGAAAGGCUAAUCAAACUUGGAGAUAGCUCGUACUCCCCGAAAUGCAUUUAGGUGCAGCCUUGCGGGUUACUGAUGUGAGGUAGAGCGACUGAUAAGAUGCGAGGGCUUCACCGCCUAUCAAGUCUUGACAAACUCCGAAUGCGCAUCAGUUCUACCGCAGGAGUGAGGGCAUGGGUGCUAAGGUCCGUGCCCGAGAGGAGAAGAAUCCGGACCACCUGCUAAGGUCCCGAAAUGACAGCUAAGUUAAACUAACGAAGUCUGACUGCUAAGACAGCUAGGAUGUUGGCUUGGAAGCAGCCAUUCAUUUAAAGAGUGCGUAACAGCUCACUAGUCGAGGAGUCGGGCGUGGAUAAUAAUCGGGUAUUAAGUUGUCUACCGAAGCAGUGGGAUCAUUUAUAUGAUCGGUAGGGGAGCAUUCCAGUCAGCGUCGAAGGCGUACCGUGAGGUAUUCUGGAGCGUCUGGAAAAGCAAAUGUAGGUAUAAGUAACGAUAAAGGGGGCGGGAAACCCCCUCGCCGAAAGACUAAGGUUUCCUGAUCAACGCUAAUCGGAUCAGGGUCAGUCGGGUCCUAAGGCUCAGCCGAACGGCGAUGCCGAUGGCAGAAACGGUUAAUAUUCCGUUACUACCUUCAGGAGUGACGUGGAGACGCAGUAGUGACAGUGCCGCCAUCUGACGGAAUAGAUGGUUGAAGGGUGUAGGAGUCGAUCAUGGCAGGCAAAUCCACCAUGAGAUCCGAACCUGACAGUAUGCCGCGUCCUUCGGGACAAGGCAAUAGUGCGCGUAAGCAUGCUGCCGAGAAAAUCCGCUAAACUUAAUCCUGUAGGUACCCGUACCGCAAACGGACACACGUAGUCGGGAUGAAUAUUCUAAGGCGCUUGAGUGAUUCACGGUUAAGGAACUAGGCAAACUGACCCUGUAACUUCGGGAUAAAGGGUCCCUACCCUUUUAUGGGAGGGCGCAGAGAAUCGGUCCAGGCAACUGUUUAACAAAAACACAGGGCUGUGCCAAAUCGAAAGAUCCAGUAUACAGCCUGACACCUGCCCGGUGCUGGAAGGUUAAGAGGAGAUGUCAUCGAUAAGAGAAGCGUUGAAUUGAAGCCCCAGUAAACGGCGGCCGUAACUAUAACGGUCCUAAGGUAGCGAAAUUCCUUGUCGGGUAAGUUC